rnacentral:rRNA from 1 species
CGGAACGGGUGCGUAACACGUGAGCAACCUGCCUUUGGUGGUGGGGGAGUAGCCGGGCUAACGCCCGGGUAAUACCGCAUACGGUUGCCGAGGGGAGUCCCUUGGCAAAGAAACCUCCGGGGCACAGAGAGGGGCUCGCGGCCUAUCAGCUAGUUGGUGAGGUAACGGCUCACCAAGGCGUCGACGGGUAGCUGGUCUGAGAGGAUGGCCAGCCACAUUGGGACUGAGAUACGGCCCAG